rnacentral:tRNA from 1 species
GCCUGGGUGGCUCAGUCGGUGAAGCGUCUGACUGCGGCUCAGGUCAUGAUCUGGUGGUUUGUGAGCUCGAGUCCCACGUCGGGCU